CAUCGUGGUGUCAUAUAAUAGGACACCCUGCAAUAAAAAGGAACAGAUGUAGAUACAGGCAACAAUGUGGGUGAACCCUAAAAGCAUUGUUCUAAGUGUGAAGAGCCAGACACAAAAGACUAUGUCCUGCAUGACUUCAUUUUUAUGACUUUCUGCAAAAAGCAAAACAGGAACAUAAAUUAGAUCAGUGGUUGUUAUUGGCUGCGUGGGGGCGUGAUUAACUGCACAGGGCAUCAGGGAACUUUCUGGAGUGAUAGAAAUGUUCCUGAUUGUGAAGAUGGUUCCACAUCUGCCCAAAGCCCAAACAGGAGUGAUCGUGAUGUAAGUUGCUGGGUCAGGAGCUGGCUGGCCAAGGGAGAGGAUCAACACCAAUCACCUGGCCGGGAAGAUACGACACACUUGACACACGGACUGUUCCUGUCUGGGUCAGGGACAUAAAGGUGCCACUUUCACCCUUU